rnacentral:rRNA from 1 species
GAUGAACGCUGACAGAAUGCUUAACACAUGCAAGUCUUUGGCGAAGCUGUGCUUGCACAGCCUAGCCAAGGCGGACGGGUGAGUAACGCGUAAGGAACUUGCCCUGCAGUCAGGGAUAACAGACGGAAACGACUGAUAAGACCUGGUAAAGUCAGGCGGACUCAUGUCCAGCCUGAUGAAAAGAGAUGCUGCAGGAGAGCCUUGCGUCCUAUUAGUUUGUUGGUGGGGUAACGGCCCACCAAGGCGAUGAUAGGUAGCCGGCCUGAGAGGGUGGACGGCCACAAGGGGACUGAGAUACGGCCCUUACUCCUACGGGAGGCAGCAGUGGGGAAUAUUGGACAAUGGGGGCAACCCUGAUCCAGCAAUUCUGUGUGCACGAUGAAGGUUUUCGGAUUGUAAAGUGCUUUCAGCAGGGAAGAAAAAAAUGACGGUACCUGCAGAAGAAGCGACGGCUAAAUACGUG